CUGGGACUCACCUUCACCUCGGCAGAAGGAGGCCCCUGUCUUGCUCAAUUCUGUGCCACGCCCUUCCUGAACCCUGAGGCAGAGACCAUAUCCUGAUUGCUUUUACUUCCUCCACCUAGACAAGCCUGGCCGACCUCCAUCUGUCUCUAGACUGCUGAGUCAGGGGAAGCAGGCUGGGCAGCGGGGCACCCCGUUCCUUGGCACAGACAUUCUGCAAUUCCCAGGGUACUCUGCUGGCAGUCAGGGGUCCCUCCCUUGGCUUGAGUCUUCUCUUAAACAUUUUCAUGUACGUAUGCAAGAUUAUGCUGGACAGUUUUGCAUCUGACACCGACUAGAGUCGUUUUGAGAGAGAACCCCCGUGAGAAAAUGUCCCUGCCAGAUUGGCCUAUGGGUAAGGCCUCUCCCUGUGCUUCAAAUCAAGCUGGAAGCUCUGUCCAUGACCUUCAAACCCCUGAAGAAAAGCCCCUCUACCAGGCGUGGUGGUGCAUGGCUUUAAUCCCAGCACACAGGAGGUAGAAGCAAGCAGAUCUCUGAGGCCAGCCUGGUCUAUAGAGUGAGCUCCAGGACACACAGGAAAACCCUGUCUCAGAAAAAAAAAGAAAGAAAGAAAGAAAAGAAAAGAAAAGAAAAGAAAAAAAAAGAAAAGAAAAGAAAACAACCCUGACUAGUAAGACUCUAAUCUGAAAUGUCCCCUGAUGUCUUGUGGCUCCCAGAUGUGGCCCUAUUUUGGUUCUAAAAACAAUGAGAAAUUGGAUCCCAGCUAAAGAAAGACAAUCUCCGGGGGAAGGUCCUUGAGUGUGCAUUAUUUUGACUACUUCCUGUCUUGCUCUCUGCUUCCUGUUCCUGAAUCCGGCUUCUCCACCAUGCAUUCCCCCAAUACAAUGGACUGAACGCUCUGAAAUUGUGAGCUGAGUUUGUGGCUCAAUUGGUAGGAUACUUGCCUAGCAUGCAUGGUGUUCUGGAGUUUAAGUCCCAGCACUGCAUAUACCAGGGACUGGUGGCACACUUCCCAGACUUAGGAAGUGAGAUUAUAAGGUGUUCAAACCCAUCUUCAGUCAUAUAACAAAUUCAAUGCCAGCUUGAGAUAGGUGAGAUCCUGUCUCAAAAACAAAUAAGGCGCUGGAGAGAUGGCUUCCCAGUUAAGAGGACCUGAGUUCAGUUCCUAGCACCCAUAUAGUGGCUCUCAAUUAUCUGUAACUCCAACUGCAGAAACUCCCAUGCUCUCUUCUGCCUUCCACAGGUGUGGUGAGCAAAGACACUUAUACACAUUAAAAUAAUAAAUUAAUCUUUGGGGCUGGAGAGAUGACUCAGUGGUUAAGAGUACUGGCUGCUCUUCCAGAGGACCGGGGUUCAAUUCCCAGCACCCACAUGGCAGCUCACAACUGUCUGUAACUCCAGCGCUAAGGAAUCUGACACCUCACACAGAUGUACACGCAGGCAAAACACCAAUGCACAGGAAAAAAAACUAAAAAUAAAUAAAUCACUUGAAAUUAAAAUAAAUUAAUUGAUCUUCAAAAUAGAGUUAAAUAAUAAAGA
ensembl:lncRNA